UUGGCUACAGUAACAUGUAUAAAACGGCGUUUUGCAGUUUAGUGAUCGCAACAGUGUUUACUGAACCACCGACAAAAGUGGAAGGCUGAAAUCUGAGAAUAGCGGCUUUUGAAGACAAAUAAUCGAAAAUGAAAGUUUUAGUCGUGGUUGCAUUGCUGGUCUCUCUGGUAGCUUGCAUGCCCGUGAGUGACGAACCCUCUGACACGGCCGUCGCCAGCGCAAAAACGGAGGAAACAGAUAUGCAAACUAGCGAAUACUAUUUCAAUCCAUAUUUUGGCUAUGGCUAUGGAUAUGGCUACCCUUCAUAUUAUGGAUAUGGAUACCCUUAUUAUUAUCCGCCAGUUUACCAUCACCACCACAGUUACCCGUACUCGUACUGGGGGUAGAUUAAUGGAAACAAUGAUCAGACUUUUUAUGAUGAGAAAUCAUAUGUCUUCAUUUCCUUCCUUAAUAAUUCUGCAUCCUUAAUUUUGACUAAAUUCAAAAAAUUUGUGCAUGUUACCUAUGCCUAUACUAAAGUUGUUUUGUACAUAAUACGAGGUACUCGACUCAAGAUAAUAAUUUAUUUAAAGAUAUUUAGUGUGCAUAUGGCGUUAAUUUCCUGAAUAAAUAUCGCUGU